GGGAAGCUUGCUCUUCUUGGAUGAGUUGCGAACGGGUGAGUAACGCGUAGGUAACCUGCCUUGUAGCGGGGGACAACUAUUGGAAACGAUAGCUAAUACCGCAUAACAAUGGAUGACACAUGUCAUUUAUUUGAAAGGGGCAAUUGCUCCACUACAAGAUGGACCUGCGUUGUAUUAGCUAGUAGGUGAGGUAACGGCUCACCUAGGCGACGAUACAUAGCCGACCUGAGAGGGUGAUCGGCCACACUGGGACUGAGACACGGCCCAGACUCCUACGGGAGGCAGCAGUAGGGAAUCUUCGGCAAUGGGGGCAACCCUGACCGAGCAACGCCGCGUGAGUGAAGAAGGUUUUCGGAUCGUAAAGCUCUGUUGUAAGUCAAGAACGAGUGUGAGAGUGGAAAGUUCACACUGUGGCGGUAGCUUACCAGAAAGGGACGGCUAACUACGUGCCAGCAGCCGCGGUAAUACGUAGGUCCCGAGCGUUGUCCGGAUUUAUUGGGCGUAAAGCGAGCGCAGGCGGUUUGAUAAGUCUGAAGUUAAAGG
rnacentral:rRNA from 1 species